rnacentral:tRNA from 1 species
CGCCCAUAGCUCAACUGGAUAGAGUACUUGACUACGAAUCAAGCGGUUAGAGGUUCGACUCCUCGUGGGAAG